CAAUAGCGUAUAUUAAAGUUGUUGCAGUUAAAAAGCUCGUAGUUGAAUUUUUGCUUGCCGCCGAUGUCGGAACUUCCGUACGUUCGGCGGCGUGCAUCCUUGGGUGGAACCUGUGUGGCAUUAGGUUGUCGUGCAGGGGAUGCUCAUCGUUUACUGUGAAAAAAUUAGAGUGUUCAAAGCAGGCUUACGCCGUUGAAUAUAUUAGCAUGGAAUAAUAAGAUAGGACCUUGGUACUAUUUUGUUGGUUUGCGCACCGAGAUAAUGAUUAACAGGGACAGUUGGGGGUAUUCGUAUUCCAUUGUCAGAGGUGAAAUUCUUGGAUUUCUGGAAGACGAACUACUGCGAAAGCAUUUACCAAGGAUGUUUNCAUUA
rnacentral:rRNA from 1 species